GUAGUCGGUAUAGACGUCUGUAAAGAUUAGGAUCAGAAUAAAAAGUCUGUAUUGGAAUAUUAUCAGUAUCCUACGAACACGUCAUUUAUAUUUACAAUAGCGUUUAACUCGUUAGGCGCCAUCCCGAUUAAUGAUUAAAAAAAAAAGAUGAGCAAAAUAUAAUUCGAAACGAGAAUUUUAUUUGAUUAUUUUUCUUUCAUUUUUUUCUCAUCGAAAUAAUCUGAGCGUUUGUCAUGUUCACAACGAAAAAUUCAAAAAUGUGGGGACAAAAAUACCCGUAUAGAAAUCGAAAGAUCAUCGUUCCUUAAUGAAACCCAAACGAAAAAAUCCUAUGCGAAACUGGGACCGGGAUCGUGAACUUUCCAUUAAAAAAGAGAAGAAAAAAAACGCAACCCACUAAUUCGUUAAAUCAUCAACUAAUUUCGCUAUAUUGUUUGACGUCUCACUUCUAACAGAACUAAAAAUAUCCUCUAACAAUAUUGUUCGAAGUCUGAAGUCAACAAAAAUCACGUGCAAGACUAUCUUCCAUUUACCUUAAACAUUACCAUGCAGCAUGUGUCCAGCAGCAGAGAACACGCGUCGGCAGUAAAGAUAAGAGAAAUGAAAAAUCAAAUAGAAAAAAAAAGUAACCAAAAACUUUCCUGUACAUUAAUCUCACGGAUUGGAAAAAAAAUUUUUACGAUCGUUAAACGCUAAGAUUUUUGUCAAGCAUUGUACCAAUAUAUUCACACCUUAGUUGGUACUGAUUACUCAACACCUUUGUGUAAUGUAACGAGGUGUUAACAAAAUAGAAAGAAAAAAUAUAAUCAAAUCAACAAUUGACGAAAAUCAUCCUCGGAAUGAAAUAUGUGCAACCAGGUGAUGCUACGAGCACGUACGAUACGCGGUGUUGCUACAGACUACAAGUUUCCUGUUGCAGAAAACUUAUGAAUUCUCUACAGGCGUUUUUCGGAUGUUGAACUCGAUAUUUCCAGGAAGCCAAAGCGCAUCGUUCGGAUACUCGGCCUUUAAAAACAUACAGAAUGAGCCGUUGAAACGCUGUCGGAUGUCGAUUGAUCGGCUAUGGUCGGUCUAAUCCUGUAGCAAUAAAUAAUACAUCUAGGAUUUUACGUGCGUUUCUGGUAAUGGUCCAGAAAGUCAAAGAGAUGAAGAAACAAAAUCCCCGAAUAUGAAUUCCAACUAAUCCGCGGUGUGAACUUACAAUCAUCAUCACCAUGUGCUUUUCCAAGAGAUUGAAUCAAACGCGAGCCCGCGGUAACGUGUAUGGAAAUACAAAAGCGGUUUUGAAAUUUAUCUCUUCAUACGAAUAUUUACAUUAUCGAGAAUUUCAUCGUGGGAUUUGGGAAAAAAAAAUUUCUACGUAUAUUCGAUCCACUGCACAAAGACACCAGCGUUCGGAAGGUCUGCGCAUUAAGAUUCUGGCUCCGGUUUGCGGCCGGAGGGAGGCCUGCAGCCGAGGCUGGGAAUCUUAUGUCAAAUUUAAACGCAAGGGUGUUCCUUGAAGGACCCACUGCGAAACAAAGUUCAGCCGCCAGCCCUACAACGUUAAUUUUAAAAACGAAUCUAUAGCUGCGGAACGAAUAACACAGGACACACGAUGGGUGGUCGAGAACCUGAUCACGGGUGCCCUGAAUUGAAAUUAAAUAGGAAAACAAAAACGAAAAAUAAAGUAGUCUCGUCUAAUUGAAAAUGUAUAUCGCACGUAUACACGUUAUUGAUAUUUUCAUUGACGUCAACGAUGAAAUAAGGUUAAAAACAUAUAAAAUGUAUAGGUGAUGUAAACUGAGCAUACUUUACAUACAUGUCGCACAUCGUGACUACAAUUACAACUGAUCUUUCGUUUCUAAUCUACGCGUACGGAUGCUAAUAUUUGUUGAAUGGAACCAGACUAUUUUCACAUGCUUUGAAUUUUGAUUUUAUUCGCCUACCUAUAUGAUCUACAGGGAAAGACCUUUCGUUGCAACGUCAGAGGAACGAUCAGGAUCCAUGGAAAUAAAAAAGAUCAGGUUCGUCGAUUGGAAAAUCGUCCGCGACGAUAUACGAUUUGAAAUUUCAUACCGGUAACGCGUGGAACGCGUUGCAAUUUCUUUGAAAGAAUUGCGUUUUCAUUCGAUUCGCAUGCGAUCAUUUGUCAUGUUUCAAAUAUAUGUGUGCCCCAUACGUGGACUCUGUAUGCGAACCAUAAAAUAUUGAGGAUCAAUUUUUCAUAAAGCCGACAUAGUCGCGUGUAAGAAGACCUUGCGUCAAUUUAUCCCGAGCAAGUGAAGCGUUAUUAAAAUGAAAUUUAUUUGACAUGAUUACGAUUUCUCUUUGCGAUACUUGUUCGGCUGGACCAAACGCGCGACCGCCAGCUGCGUAGUAGAAAGAAAAAUAAAAAAAUAGUCGCGAUGCAAGUUCAACCGUUAUUUUCGCAUAUAAAUGAGUGUUAACUCAUUUUAACCGCGUGUCGUAAGUUCGUUACCAUCAUAUUUCGAAAGAAUUGAUCAAGUUUGAUAAUUAUCGUGACCGAUUACAAUAAGAUUGGUGAUUAUCACCGUGACGAUCUGCACUUUUUUAACCGACGGAAAUAUAAUUACACCGUGAUCGGUUCAGUUCACUCUUUUGGCAAGUCAUUCUUGAAUAAUUAAUUGUAUGAUUUCGUACAAUAGAUUUCCAAUUUUCCAAUCAAAGUCAAUGCAGUACAGUCAUAGAUAUAUUGAAAUGGUACAGUUUUAGAACUCAUACUUCACCAAAUAACGUACGUCGAUGUCUAUUUUUUUAAUUUAGUUAUUUAUUCGUCUUUUUUUUUUGUUCUUCCUUUUCGCCAUGAUUCAGUUGAGAAUUGACAAUUCUCACCACGAAAUAGAAACCACGUUCAAACCGAUCUAAUGCCAACGACGAUUAUGCGGUUGCACUCAGAAUUUAAUAACCGUGUGAAUUGUGUAUCCCCAUUGGAAAUUUUUUCACCUUAACAAAUGUCAGUAUAAGGGCAUGUUCUCUCUGAAAACUUGGAUGUAUGUACUUUCAUGCACAAAAAACAGAUGAACGAACAAGUUCUGAAUUUAGAAAUUCGAAACGGAUCAGAUUCCUCUGCAACUUCGAUUCGUUGUGAUACAGCUUAUCGCGAAAUAGCAUCUUGGUUCAGCGACUUAUACACGAGAAACGAAACAAAUCAAAACGGGAAUUCAAUUCUAUCUCUUUCUCUCACAGUCUGGGACGUAGCCGCGACUUGACUCUAACCGUUUUAAGACGUAUAAUAAACCAAUAAAACGUGACUCAACUUAUUCAAUAACCAUGUAAUUCAUCGUAUAGGAAAUGAAUUAUUUAAAUACUGGCCCCUUUUACCCCCGAACAAUAUGGCGCAUCUAUUUUUCGCUCAUAUCUCUGGAGAUUAAACAGUUCUAAUUUACAAUUAACCGCCUGCGGCACCUGAUUAUACAAGUUUUCCUUUUCUUUAUCGUAUUUUUCUAGCGUUGAAACAUCGGUAUUCCCUGAUCGGUUAAUCUUGACAUUUUGUUCGUCUGGUUAUUCGUGAACUUGACUUUGCCUAAGCCAGUUUGUCGCGCACUUCAUUGGAAUUAUCGGUAGUUAUGCGGACUUGAUGCAUUCCCGUUCUCAUACGUUGAUAUUUAUUCGUCCUCGUUCCCGAUUUGACUGCAGUACCAGCACCACGUGCAUAUAAUCAUUUCAGUUUCUGAUUUCAACGAUUUCACAACGUUUGAAAUAUGUAAUAAAUACACGAAUAAAUAAAUUACAAAGAGAAUU